rnacentral:rRNA from 1 species
CGGACGGGUGAGUAACACGUGGAUAACCUACCUAUAAGACUGGGAUAACUUCGGGAAACCGGAGCUAAUACCGGAUAAUAUAUUGAACCGCAUGGUUCAAUAGUGAAAGACGGUUUUGCUGUCACUUAUAGAUGGAUCCGCGCCGCAUUAGCUAGUUGGUAAGGUAACGGCUUACCAAGGCAGCGAUGCGUAGCCGACCUGAGAGGGUGAUCGGCCACACUGGAACUGAGACAAGGUCCAGACUCCUACGGGAGGCAGCAGCC